CCCUUAGAUGUUCUGGGCAGCACGCGCGCUACAAUGGUCUUCGCAAACGGAUGCAUUCUCGAAGGAGAAUGCCAAUCUUGGAAUCUAUGCCUUGGUCGGGACAGUUGCUUGCAAUUUUUCGACUCGAACCAGGAAUUCCUUGUAAUCGUGAUUCAUCACAUCACGAUGAAUACGUCCCUGCCCUCUGUACACACCGCCCGUCGCUCCUACCGAUCGAAGAGUUAGGUGAAUUGUUUUGAUCGAUAAGAUUUGACUAUGGUCAACUCUCGUUGUGAAAUUCUGUGAAUCUGACUGUUUAGAGGAAGGAAAAGUCGUAACA
rnacentral:rRNA from 1 species